CAAUAGCGUAUAUUUAAGUUGCUGCAGUUAAAAAGCUCGUAGUUGGAUUUCGGGUGGGAAUGGCCGGUCCGCCGUUUCGGUGUGCACUUGCUACGCCCACCUUGCUGCCGGGGACGUGCUCUUGAGUUCACGCUCGGGACACGGAGUCGGCGAGGUUACUUUGAGUAAAUUAGAGUGUUCAAAGCAGGCCUACGCUCUGAAUACAUUAGCAUGGAAUAACACGAUAGGACUCUGGCCUAUCUUGUUGGUCUGUAGGACCGGAGUAAUGAUUAAGAGGGACAGUCGGGGGCAUUCGUUUUUCAUUGUCAGAGGUGAAAUUCUUGGAUUUAUGAAAGACGAACUACUGCGAAAGCAUUUGCCAAGGAUGUUUUCAUUAA
rnacentral:rRNA from 1 species